rnacentral:rRNA from 1 species
UACGUAGGGUGCGAGCGUUACUCGGAAUUACUGGGCGUAAAGCGUGCGCAGGCGGUUUUGCAAGCCGGAUGUGAAAUCCCCGGGCUCAACCUGGGAAUGGCAUUCGGGACUGCAAGGCUGGAGUGCGGCAGAGGAGACUGGAAUUCCUGGUGUAGCAGUGAAAUGCGUAGAUAUCAGGAGGAAUACCGAUGGUGCAGACGGCUUUCUGGACCGUAACUGACGCUGAGACACGAAAGCGUGGGUAGCAAACAGG